CCGAGUUUACAACUCCCAAACCCAAUGUGAACGUUACCAAACUGUUGCCUCGGCGGGAUCUCUGCCCCGGGUGCGUCGCAGCCCCGGACCAAGGCGCCCGCCGGAGGGCCAACCAAAACUCUUAUUGUAUACCCCCUCGCGGGUUUUUUUAUAAUCUGAGCCUUCUCGGCGCCUCUCGUAGGCGUUUCGAAAAUGAAUCA
rnacentral:misc_RNA from 1 species